CUGCAGGCGCUGCGCCAGACGCCCGUGAUCGUUAGUGGAAAGGACACGGUCGCGCCUAACGCGGUGCCGGGCACGAUUGAAAGUGUGGCUCACGUGCGAUCACACACACACAGCCCGCGGGGAAGAUCAUUUCAGCGAGUGCGGGGCGCCCCCGAAGCGCCACCAAAUAUAGAGAUAAAUAAAUUGUGCAGUAAACUGUGUCUACGUGGUUAAAAGAUUUCCCCCAGCAAAGAUAUCAAAGUAAAAACGGAUCAGUUAAGCCACUGGGGCCGCACGGCAGAGUGGACAGCGAGAGAGAGACAGCAAGAAAGGUCUUCUUUUUUUCUGUUGGUUCACCCUCCAAUGGCCGCUGCGGUUCUAGCCCUGACCAGGAUUAGAUCCCAGGGUGCCAGCACCGCAGACAGAGGAUUAGCCUAUUGAGUUGCGGCGCCGGCCCAGUUUUUUUCUUAAUACACAUUUUCUGUAAAC